AAGAGAAAGACCUCGCGGUCUUGUUCCGCUCGGGCGGACACCUCUUCACCCUGUGAUUAUCUACCUUUCUGUUGCUUUGGCGGGCCUUGGGGUCAAGCUCAUGCCGGUUUCGCCGGCGAGUGCCCGCCAAUAGCCCCCCAAACUUGUUUUUAUUGGUGUUGUCUGAGCGGGAAUAUAAUAAUCA
rnacentral:misc_RNA from 1 species